UCGGGAAUUUUGGGCAAUGGGGGAAACCCUGACCCAGCAACGCCGCGUGAAGGAUGAAGUAUUUCGGUAUGUAAACUUCGAAAGAAUAGGAAGAAUAAAUGACGGUACUAUUUAUAAGGUCCGGCUAACUACGUGCCAGCAGCCGCGGUAAUACGUAGGGACCAAGCGUUGUUCGGAUUUACUGGGCGUAAAGGGCGCGUAGGCGGCAUGACAAGUCACUUGUGAAAUCUCUGGGCUUAACCCAGAACGGCCAAGUGAUACUGUCGCGCUAGAGUGCAGAAGGGGCAAUCGGAAUUCUUGGUGUAGCGGUGAAAUGCGUAGAUAUCGGGAGGAACACCUGUGGCGAAGGCGGCCAUCUGGUUGGAUACUGACGUUGAGACGCGAAAGCGUGGGGAGCAAACAGGAUUAGAUACCCGUGUAGUCCCUGAGCGGGCUGGCAAGGCGCAU
rnacentral:rRNA from 1 species